AUUCCCUCAGCCACAAAGCGAUGGGAAAGCGGGACCCGGAUUAGGGAUCGUGAUGUGGAGCUGCACUUCCUGGUUCCAAAUCCUGGCUCUUCCCCUCAUCCCUGGGUAAGUUGAGGGAUGAGAGCAAGAGAAGGUUGAUCCUGACUCAGAUCUCUGCAUGGGGCAUGUCACUGAUGACGGCGGCAUUCCCUGAGAGAGGGAACACUAAGUUUGAAGUUGGGCAUAGUGAGCACUAUUUUGGAUGAGUUAAGUUUAGAAGUGCCUGAAGACAUCCAAGUGGAAGAAGUGGCUGCAUGGACUGAAGAUACAGACUGGGAAACGUUAACACCAUCAAGGAACUGGAGUCCUGGGCACAGAAUAUGCUGCAAAGGGAGAAGAAGGAAGACGUGUGGUAUGGAAUCACCUAUGGAUAAGGUUGAGAACCAUGGGCUAGAUGCUAUGGAGACCAACGUAUCACUUACUAGGCUUUACUUUGUGCCAGGCACUGGAUUCGGCAUUACCCCAUUUAAGCCUCACUACCAUCCUUCAUGUUACUAUUCCACGUUGCCGCUCAGGAGAAACAAAAUUUUUUUAUUAAAUUCAAGUAACCUGAGGUCCCAUAUUUAGUAAGAGGCAGAGGAGUUAGAUGUGUCAAUAGCUAAAUUACAUGGCUGUGUCCUCUAGCUGGCCAGGGACUGACAACAUCAGUAUCACCUGGUGACUCUCCCAGGGGAGAUGUUUUUAAAAAUCUUUUCCAGUAAUUCUGUGCAACAUGGCAAUCUGAAACCAGUCUUUCAGACCUGGAAGUUCUUUAGAGACCACAGGACUCUCUUUGAUAUUUUUUCUUUUGAAUUUUUUUAAAAUACAGAAUCCUUUUUCAUGUUCUCUGUUUAUAAAACAACUGCAUGUCAAUUACAUUAUUUUUUAGAAGAUAGGUACAAGAGCCAGGCGUGGUGGCUCAUGGCUGUAAUCACAACACUUUGGGAGGUCGAGGCAGGUGGAUCAUUUGAGGCUGGAAGUUCGAGACCAGCCUGGCCAACAUGGCAAAACCUGUCUCUACUAAAAAUAUAAAAAAUUAGCCUGGAGUAGUGGUGCAUGUCCCAGCUACUCGGGAGGCUGAGGCAUGAAAAUCGCUUGAACCCGGGAGGUGCAGGUUGCAGUGAGCCAAGAUCGCACCACUGCACUCCAGCCUGGGCAACAGAGCAAGACUGUGUCUUGACAGCAACAAAAAAAGAAGAUAGGUAUAGGAAUUAAAAAGAAAGCAAAUAAUUACUGGUAGCCUGACCACUAAGAGAUAUAUACUGAUAUUUUUUUUGCGGGGGGUGCAUCUCCUUGCAGGCCUUUUUGUAUGUUUAUGUUCAAACACAUUUGUAACAACAAUGAAUAAAAAACGCAUAAUAUUCAAUGACUUUU
rnacentral:lncRNA from 10 species